rnacentral:rRNA from 1 species
UACGUAGGGUCCGAGCGUUUGUCCGGAAUUAUUGGGCGUAAAGGGCUCGUAGGCGGUUUGUCACGUCGGGCGUGAAAACUCAGGGCUCAACCCUGAGCGUGCGUUCGAUACGGGCAGACUAGAGGUAUGCAGGGGGAGAACGGAAUUCCUGGUGUAGCGGUGGAAUGCGCAGAUAUCAGGAGGAACACCGGUGGCGAAGGCGGUCUCUGGGCAUUACCUGACGCUGAGGAGCGAAAGCAUGGGGAGCAACAGG